ensembl:lncRNA
UAUAUAUAUAUAUAUAUAUAUAUAUAUAUAUAUAUAUAUAUAUAUAUAUAAACACUUGCUUUUUUUCUUUUGUUUAAUGUCUUAUUUAUUAAUUCACUUUUUUACAUUGUCAGUUUUUGUUUAUUCGUUCAUUUUUCACCCAGCCAUUCCUCUUAUGACCUGCAAACCACCUUGAAACCGGGCAGAAGCCCUCAUCUAUCGCUGUAUUUUCAGUGAUUUUCCCCUCGAGGUGCAUGGGUCAGUACGGCGAGCGUCCUCUGGUGGUCAAACGCAGCACUGUCUGUCUUGAAGUGAAGGGUGACUCCGCGCACUGUAAUCGGAAGUUCCCCUCCAAAACCUUUAGGAAACAACCCUGUCCGAUCUGCACCAAACCUCAUAAUCCUAAAUCCUGGGAAAGUUUUUCAGAGAGUGAGGAGGAGCUGCAUCAGCUGUCAUGGAUGCACAAACAGGAACUGAAGGAUUCACUGGUUGAUAUGUACAAAGCUAAUCCUAAAGUCAAUGAAGAACUGAAACAAAGGCUGCCGUCCCCUGUAAAGCACCAUUGUUCAGAGACCACACCACAACUUGGAUCCUCUUUAGUUGAAACUACCUCAGCUACAUCCCAGUGUCACAGUUUAUCAAAAGCCCUGGAGGAGAAACUCAUACAAGCAUCUAAGACUCCCAAGCCCAGAGAAGGUUUGACGCUCAGACUCCCACCACCCCCGCCCGUGCCAGGCCCAGUUGCAGUUGACUUGAGAAUCAUGGAGGAGGAGAGAUUGUCUCCACAGAGACCCGCAGCACAGCAAAAGCAGGAUAUUACCGAGACAGCCAGCAGUCCGGUCCACACACCUCAAGUCAGCAGGGCAGGGUCUGCCACACUCAGGCAUGCUCAUGCUCACGAGGACCAGGGAAAUUUCAAAGUUAUCAGCGACUCCAAAAAGCAAGUCCCAGUUCUGGAUAAAGAGAAAAACAUUGCUUUUCUCCUGAAGGAGCUGGAUUCCCUUAGAGACCUCAAUAAGAAGCUCCAGGACAGGUUGGCGCUGAAGGAGAAAGAGUUGGAAACCAAGCUGCUGGACUCUCAGCUACAGGAGGCUGAGCAGGAGGUGCGUGCCAGUGAGAGAGCAGCAGGUAGGACACAUGGGUGAAGAAAUGAAUAUAAAUGGUUGGAAAGAAUCAAGAUUAAGUAGACUCAUUUAAUAUGGCAGGAUUUACCUUUUUUGUGUGUUUAAUGUGAGGUGUGACAUUGCAUAGAUCUCUAAAUGCAAAUGUCUGAUCUUCCAACACAGCUGAAGAAUAAACACUUUUAAUUAAUUAGUUAGUACA